rnacentral:rRNA from 1 species
UACGUAGGUGGCAAGCGUUGUCCGGAAUUAUUGGGCGUAAAGCGCGCGCAGGCGGUCCUUUAAGUCUGAUGUGAAAGCCCACGGCUCAACCGUGGAGGGUCAUUGGAAACUGGGGGACUUGAGUGCAGAAGAGGAAAGUGGAAUUCCACGUGUAGCGGUGAAAUGCGUAGAGAUGUGGAGGAACACCAGUGGCGAAGGCGACUUUCUGGUCUGUAACUGACGCUGAGGCGCGAAAGUGUGGGGAGCGAACAGG